rnacentral:rRNA from 1 species
AUAUCAGUAAGCGGAGGAAAAGAAACUAACAAGGAUUCCCUCAGUAACGGCGAGUGAAGCGGGAAGAGCCCAACUUUGGAAUCUGGCCGCGAGGUCUGAGUUGUAGUGUGGGACGCUGGUCUAAGGGGAAGAGGUGAGUGCAAGUCUCCUGGAAAGGGGCAUCAGAGAGGGUGAGAAUCCCGUUGCACUCAACCAAUUCUCCAGUUGACGGUGGUCGAAGAGUCGAGUUGCUUGGGAAUGCAGCUCAAAGAGCGGUGGUAAAUUCCAUCGAAGGCUAAAUAGCGGCAGGAGACCGAUAGCGCACAAGUA